rnacentral:rRNA from 1 species
AUUGAACGCUGGCGGCAUGCCUUACACAUGCAAGUCGAACGGCAGCACGGGAGCAAUCCUGGUGGCGAGUGGCGAACGGGUGAGUAGUAUAUCGGAACGUGCCCAAUCGUGGGGGAUAACGCAGCGACAGCUGUGCUAAUACCGCAUACGAUCUAAGGAUGAAAGCGGGGGAUGGCAAGACCUCGCGCGCGUGGAGCGGCCGAUAGCCGAUUAGCUAGUUGGUGAGGGAAAGGCUCACCAAGGCGACGAUCUGUAGCUGGUCUCAGAGGACGACCAGCCACACUGGAACUGAGACACGGUCCAGACUCCUACGGGAGGCAGCAGUGGGGAAUUUUGGACAAUGGGCGCAAGCCUGAUCCAGCAAUGCCGCGUGCAGGAUGAAGGCCUUCGGGUUGUAAACUUCUUUUGUACGGGAAAAAACCCCUGAUCGUGUAUCAGGGCUGAUGGUACCGUAAGAAUAAGGAUCGGCUAACUCCGUGCCAGCAGCCGCAGUAAAAC